GCGGCCAUAGCUCAAUGGUAGAGCACCAGAUUGUGAUUCUGGACGUUGCGGGUUCGAGUCCCGUUGGUCGCC
rnacentral:tRNA from 1 species